ensembl:lncRNA
UGUUGAGGUGCUCGUUAGCGGUAAUUAGCAACAGCUGAGGCUGCAGGUGAGUCUCAGGAAGUGAGACUCUGGGUAGAGAGUCUCUGAAGGUUCUGCAGGUGAGACUCUGAGUUUAUAGGAUUAAAACAGAGAGCGCGCAGAUUUGUGGAAGACACUGUUAUGAGAGAACUUUUGGUCAUAAAUACACGAUGGAAUUCAAAGCAUGGGAUGUUCACCUGGAGAUGAGGCCUGCCGGUGCGGCGUGUCAUGGAGAGAACACACAGCUGGCUGUGGACCUGCGGUGAAUACCUCGCACCUAAACCCCUAGAUAGGUAAUAGAGAACUGUCUUUCGGGAGAGGAAGUAGACAGUUCUACAAGUUCGAGGGGACCUCCACAGUGAAGUGGAGGACGUGAGGAUCUAAAGGGGGGACACGCACCUCCCCCCCAUCCCCCAUCUUAUCUCCCCAAGGAAUUCAGCUCCACUUUAAUCAGGGCAGCGUCCCUCCCGCAGGCAGGGUAUGUAAUUAAUGGACUGGAGAAGGCUCACCCUGGGGCGCUUCUAUUGUUGUUGGGGACUCCAAUAUGGGCUAAUAGAAGGAAAGUUUGUCCUAAAGAACACCAGCACCAUUACUUUUCUACCUGUGGUGGAAAAGUUAUUGGACUACGGACCUUUUUGUGAUUCUCAUCCACGGGACAGAAUGUAAACCCCUCCCCCAGCCGGCCUUAGGUUAAGCGGAUCAAUCCACUCCAUUCUUCUCCCUCCAACGUCUUAAACUGGAAAAAACAACAAGGGUUCGUUGGGUGGUUCAAGGCUGGAGUGGGGAAUCCUUUGCCACUCUCCAGGACUGCCUGUCUCAGCCUCUCCCAGUGCAUUGAUGAUGUCGUCCCAAAUGGGACCCUGGGGAAAUUGAGGACUUUCAGAUAUGUCCUACAGAAAAGCCAUCAGAGAUGCCAAAAUAACCUACAGGGAGUCUCGUUGGAGCACAAAGAAAGAGAAAUCACAGUGGUGGCCAGCUCGCCGCAUUUGUUACGGAAGGGCCUCACGCACCUUCAUGCACUGUUUGAGGCAAGCAAGACCAUCCCUUCUGCGAGGCCAGCUGAGAACCAGGACGACUGCACUCUGUCCCUCACUAUGGCUGACCUGAGGAGCGCUUAUAAAAGGGUAAACCCUCGAAAGUAUCCUGGGCCAGAUGGUGUUCCAGGGAUCUCCUGGGAGCCUGGAUCCUGCACUUCCUGACGGCCAGACCCGUGGCGGUGAGAAUGGGAAACUUCACUAUCUCUGCACUGGGAGGAGAUCAGCGUCUUGGCAACAUGGUGCGAGGAAAACAACCCUAACGUAUGCAGGACUAAAGAGAGGAUUGUGUACUUCAGGAAGCAGCAGGGGCGUGUUACUGGAGCAUCCGGGCACAGAUUAGCAGACAAAAGAAAAUUGUUCCCCCCACCCAAUCAGGCUUCUCAACAAGCCAGUUUUAGGUUAGUGAUCAAAUUGAUCAAAGAAAUUAUUUAAUUGUUUUUAAUAAUAAAAAUAUAGCUUUUUUUCCUUUCUAUGAAUCUAUUUGCAAUGUUGCCGUUGUUGUCUUUUUAAAAUAAAUUGUAAUAUGUUUGUGAGUAGAUAUUAAUAGUAUACUGCC